rnacentral:rRNA from 1 species
CACGUAGGGGGCGAGCGUUAUCCGGAUUCAUUGGGCGUAAAGCGCGCGCAGGCGGCCGCCUAAGCGGGACCUCUAAUCCCGGGGCUCAACCCCGGGCCGGGUCCCGAACUGGGCGGCUCGGGUUCGGUAGGGGAGGUCGGAAUUCCCGGUGUAGCGGUGGAAUGCGCAGAUAUCGGGAGGAACACCGACGGCGAAGGCAGGCCUCUGGGCCGCAACCGACGCUGAGGCGCGAAAGCCGGGGGAGCGAACA